rnacentral:misc_RNA from 1 species
AACCAUAGAAACCUGCGGAGUACCUGCGGAGGGAUCAUUACAGAGUUGCAAAACUCCCUAAACCAUUGUGAACGUUACCUAAACCGUUGCUUCGGCGGGCGGCCCGGGUCCUUCCCGGCGCCCAUCGGCCCUCGCGGGCGCCCGCCGGAGGUAACCAAACUAUUGCAUUGUAUGGCCUCUCUGAGUCUUCUGUACUGAAUAAGUCAAAACUUUUAACAACGGAUCUCAGAUCGGAAGAGC